GAUGAACGCUGGCGGCGUGCUUAACACAUGCCAGUCGAACGAUGAAGCCCAGCUUGCUGGGUGGAUUAGUGGCGAACGGGUGAGUAACACGUGAGUAACCUGCCCUUAACUCUGGGAUAAGCCUGGGAAACUGGGUCUAAUACCGGAUAGGAGCGUCCACCGCAUGGUGGGUGUUGGAAAGAUUUAUCGGUUUUGGAUGGACUCGCGGCCUAUCAGCUUGUUGGUGAGGUAAUGGCUCACCAAGGCGACGACGGGUAGCCGGCCUGAGAGGGUGACCGGCCACACUGGGACUGAGACACGGCCCAGACUCCUACGGGAGGCAGCAGUGGGGAAUAUUGCACAAUGGGCGCAAGCCUGAUGCAGCGACGCCGCGUGAGGGAUGACGGCCUUCGGGUUGUAAACCUCUUUCAGUAGGGAAGAAGCGAAAGUGACGGUACCUGCAGAAGAAGAACCGGCUAUCUACGUG
rnacentral:rRNA from 1 species